CGUAAACCCACACCGACCCCUUUAACAGUACUGAGGACCUCUAUAAUCCUAUAGAGCCUUUUAUGCUAAAACUAGUAACAAGAGAUCUCCUCUCCUAAUGCAAACAUAACCCAGCAAGAACCAAUCACUGGCAAUUAACAGGAUAAUAUAAAUGUAGCAACCUCACUAGAAAACUCUACUUUAACUAACUGUUAACCUAACACCAGAGCAUUUCAAGAAAGAUUAAAAGGGGGAGAAGGAAUUCGGCAAAGAAUCAGCCUCGCCUGUUUACCAAAAACAUCGCCUCUCGAUCCCAUGAGAGGUCCAGCCUGCCCAGUGACUCUGUUCAACGGCCGCGGUAUCCUAACCGUGCGAAGGUAGCGUAAUCAUUUGUCUUCUAAAUAAAGACCUGUAUGAAAGGCAUCACGAAGGCUAAACUGUCUCCUCCCCCUAAUCAGUGAACCUAAUCUCCCCGUGAAGAAGCGGGGAUUCUUCUAUAAGACGAGAAGACCCUAUGGAGCUUUAAACAUCAUAACACUGCCACAACUAACAACUAUCCAGAUAUUUCUCCCCAUGGCACCCUGAUUAUAAGUUUUUGGUUGGGGUGACCGCGGAGAAAAAUUUAUCCUCCACAAUGAAAGGGGCCCCCCCUAAACAAUAAGUUACAACUUUAUGUAUCAACAAUUUGACAUCCAUUGACCCAACAAAUUGAUCAACGAACCAAGUUACCCUAGGGAUAACAGCGCAAUCCACUUCGAGAGCCCCUAUCGACAAGUGGGCUUACGACCUCGAUGUUGGAUCGGGAUAACCUAGUGGUGCAGCCGCUACUAA
rnacentral:rRNA from 1 species